rnacentral:rRNA from 1 species
AUUGAACGCUGGCGGCAGGCCUAACACAUGCAAGUCGAGCGGAUGAAGGGAGCUUGCUCCUGGAUUCAGCGGCGGACGGGUGAGUAAUGCCUAGGAAUCUGCCUGGUCGUGGGGGAUAACGUCCGGAAACGGGCGCUAAUACCGCAUACGUCCUGAUGGAGAAAGUGGGGGAUCUUCGGACCUCACGCUAUCAGAUGACCCUAGGUCGGAUUAGCUAGUUGGUGGGGUAAAGGCCUACCAAGGCGACGAUCCGUAACUGAUCUGAGAGGAUGAUCAGUCACACUGGAACUGAGACACGGUCCAGACUCCUACGGGAGGCAGCAGUGGGGAAUAUUGGACAAUGGGCGAAAGCCUGAUCCAGCCAUGCCGCGUGUGUGAAGAAGGUCUUCGGAUUGUAAAGCACUUUAAGUUGGGAGGAAGGGCAGUAAGUUAAUACCUUGCUGUUUUGACGUUACCAACAGAAUAAGCACCGGCUAACUUCGUG